UAGAGUUUGAUCAUGGCUCAGAUUGAACGCUGGCGGCAGGCCUAACACAUGCAAGUCGAGCGGUAACAGGAAUUAGCUUGCUAAUUCGCUGACGAGCAGCGGAUGGGUGAGUAAUGCCUGGGAAUAUGCCUUAGUGUGGGGGAUAACUAUUGGAAACGAUAGCUAAUACCGCAUAAUGUCUUCGGACCAAAGAGGGGGACCUUCGGGCCUCUCGCGCUAAGAUUAGCCCAGGUGAGAUUAGCUAGUUGGUGAGGUAAGAGCUCACCAAGGCGACGAUCUCUAGCUGGUCUGAGAGGAUGAUCAGCCACACUGGAACUGAGACACGGUCCAGACUCCUACGGGAGGCAGCAGUGGGGAAUAUUGCACAAUGGGCGCAAGCCUGAUGCAGCCAUGCCGCGUGUAUGAAGAAGGCCUUCGGGUUGUAAAGUACUUUCAGUGGGGAGGAAGGUGUUGUCGUUAAUAGCGGCAGCAUUUGACGUUACCCACAGAAGAAGCACCGGCUAACUCCGUGCCAGCAGCCGCGGUAAUACGGAGGGUGCGAGCGUUAAUCGGAAUUACUGGGCGUAAAGCGCAUGCAGGUGGUUCAUUAAGUCAGAUGUGAAAGCCCGGGGCUCAACCUCGGAACCGCAUUUGAAACUGGUGAACUAGAGUGCUGUAGAGGGGGGUAGAAUUUCA
rnacentral:rRNA from 1 species